rnacentral:rRNA from 1 species
GACAGAGGGGGCAAGCGUUGCUCGGAAUUACUGGGCGUAAAGGGCGCGUAGGCGGGAUGGCAAGUCGGUCGUGAAAUCCCUCGGCUCAACUGAGGAUCGUCGAUCGAUACUGCCGUUCUUGAGGAUUGCAGAGGAGACUGGAAUUCCCGGUGUAGCGGUGAAAUGUGUAGAGAUCGGGAGGAACACCGGUGGCGAAGGCGGGUCUCUGGGCAAUUCCUGACGCUGAGGCGCGAAAGCGUGGGAAGCAAACGGG